ensembl:lncRNA
GUCCUAAUGACCAUCACUAGAAGAAAUCCAAGGAAAUGGGGGGGGCUGUGUUUAUACAGUAAACUGGACCACACAGCAGUGAGAAGGAAUGAACCAUGAUGGCAUGGGCUAAACUCCAAAAAAUGGGCACACCACAAAAGAAAAUGUGCCAGUGUGGAACACUCAAAACCAGUGAGAAGGUGGGGCCAGCCUGGGGUGGAGCCAACCUCAGGAAAGAAGGAAUUCCUCUGGAGUCAACCAGCCUCCCCGAAUAAAAGAGACUCAGAGAGGCUGGGUGGGGCACCCUGAAACCAAAGAGGAAAACUCCCUCCAGAGAGCAGAGCUCUGUGUACAGGCCACGACUGGCCUUCCCUGGUUGGGAAGUUCCCAUGGCUCCUGGCAGCUCGGUGCCGCGUGGACUUUUGCCCUCUUUUGUCCACUUCAAUUUCACCAGAGGCAUAAGCUGACACCUGUGGGACUCCUAAAAGGGCUCACGUGCUGGCUUUCAGAGCCUGGGAGUCAGAGGGGAGAAACUGAAGACUGAGGACUGGUUUCUCAGAGACCUCCAGAGGAGAGGACCUCGGCCUGCACGCUGCGACUACUGAGCCUGUGUGUUACCUAGAGUCUGUGCCCUGCAGCAAGAGAAGCCACCGCCAGGAGAAGGCCAUGCACCACAAUGAAGAAUAGCCCCACCUCACGGCAACUAGGGAAAGCCUGCACACCGCAACCAAGACCCACUGUGG